rnacentral:rRNA from 1 species
UACGUAGGGUGCAAGCGUUGUCCGGAAUUAUUGGGCGUAAAGAGCUCGUAGGCGGUCUGUCGCGUCUGCUGUGAAAACUCGGGGCUUAACCCCGGGCCUGCAGUGGGUACGGGCAGACUAGAGUGCGGUAGGGGAGACUGGAAUUCCUGGUGUAGCGGUGAAAUGCGCAGAUAUCAGGAGGAACACCCGUGGCGAAGGCGGCCCUCUGGGACGGUACUGACGCUGAGACGCGAAAGCGUGGGGAGCGAACAGG